rnacentral:rRNA from 1 species
GAGUUUGAUCGUGGCUCAGGAUGAACGCUAGCGGCAGGCUUAACACAUGCAAGUCGAGGGGUAAGUCAUUUCGGUGACUGAGACCGGCGCACGGGUGCGUAACGCGUAUGCAAUCUGCCUUUUACAGAGGGAUAGCCCAGAGAAAUUUGGAUUAAUACCUCAUAGUAUUAUGAAUCGGCAUCGAUUUAUAAUUAAAGUUCCAACGGUAAAAGAUGAGCAUGCGUCCCAUUAGCUAGAUGGUAAGGUAACGGCUUACCAUGGCGACGAUGGGUAGGGGUCCUGAGAGGGAGAUCCCCCACACUGGUACUGAGACACGGACCAGACUCCUACGGGAGGCAGCAGUGAGGAAUAUUGGUCAAUGGGCGCAAGCCUGAACCAGCCAUGCCGCGUGCAGGAUGACGGUCCUAUGGAUUGUAAACUGCUUUUGUACAGGAAGAAACACUCCUACGUGUAGGAACUUGACGGUACUGUAAGAAUAAGGAUCGGCUAACUCCGUGCCAGCCGCCGCA